rnacentral:rRNA from 1 species
UCACUGACCGUGCAUAAUGUAGCGUAAUCAAUAGCCAAUUAAUUGUUGGCCGGUAUGAAGGCAUCACGAGGGCCCCCCUGUCUUAAGAGGACUCUCCAUGAAAUUGAAUUGUAGUGAAGAUGCUACGUCCAUAUUGUAAGACGAAAAGUCCCCAUUGAGCUUUACUAAAGACUUAUAUGGCUCGAAUAACUUAAAUAAAAAGUUUAGAUAAUGUGGGAUCCGUUUUUGGUUAAUGAGACACCACUCUUUUAUUUUAAGAGAACUAACCUUAUAGGGAGAAUGUAAGUUAGAUAGUUUGGUUGGGGCGACCACCUUUUAAAAGGUAACGAAGGU